CGCUGUGUUUGCACGCUCUUCACCUUGCUCCUGCCCUCGCCUUUCACUCUUCUUAUCCCCCCAAUACCCCGAUCACUUCGAUCAUUCCUGACAGCUCCUGAGUGCCAGGAUUUCAUCAUCUAGCCCUGCAGGAUGCUCCCCUUUGUCCUGAGGAAGGCUGUCCCAGACAGAGAGGAGGAGAUGGAGGUAGAUACAAAGAUAGAUAUGGAGGAGGAGAUGGAAAUAGACCGGGAAGACCCUGGAGAGGAAGAUAUGGAUGUGGAUGAGGACAAGGAAGAAGAGAUGGAUGUAGAUGUGACAGAGGAAAAAGCGAUGGAUUUGGAUAUGGAAGAGUCCAUUGUGGACAUGGAUAUUGAUUAAGAAGGUGGGAUGGACAUCAUGGAGAGAGAUGCCACCUUUUUGUACAUACGUUUUACAUGUUGAUGUUGUCUUUAGAAUAUAGGUUUUAGGGAUUUUUGUCUUCUGUAAAUACGUUUCAUAUAUUUUUUGUUAGAUAGGUUUUUAUGUAUAUAUGUUCUAUCGAUUGUUGUUGUUACAAAUAUUCUUAGAAUGUAAAUAUGUUCUGUAUUUUUGCUGCUGUUCUUCUGUAAUAAACAAAUUUUAUUUUUCACACCCCAGUUCUUCUUGCAUUUGCUUCAGGC